AUUGAACGCUGGCGGAAUGCUUUACACAUGCAAGUCGAGCGGCAGCGCGGGGGCAACCCUGGCGGCGAGCGGCGAACGGGUGAGUAACAUAUCGGAACGUACCCCGUCGUGGGGGAUAACACAGCGAAAGCUGUGCUAAUACCGCAUACGACCUGAGGGUGAAAGCGGGGGAUCGCAAGACCUCGCGCGAUGGGAGCGGCCGAUAUCGGAUUAGCUUGUUGGUGAGGUAAAGGCUCACCAAGGCGACGAUCCGUAGCUGGUCUGAGAGGACGACCAGCCACACUGGAACUGAGACACGGUCCAGACUCCUACGGGAGGCAGCAGUGGGGAAUUUUGGGACAAUGGGGGGCAACCCUGAUCCAGCCAUUCCGCGUGAGUGAAGAAGGCCUGG
rnacentral:rRNA from 1 species